GACGGAGGGUGCUAGCGUUGUUCGGAAUCACUGGGCGUAAAGGGCGCGUAGGCGGCCUCAGGUGUCGGAUGUGAAAGCCCGGGGCUCAACCCCGGAGGUGCAUCCGAAACUCUGGGGCUGGAGGUCGGAAGAGGAGGGUGGAAUACCCAGUGUAGAGGUGAAAUUCGUAGAUAUUGGGUGGAACACCGGUGGCGAAAGCGGCUCUCUGGUCCGGACCUGACGCUGAGGCGCGACAGCGUGGGGAUCAAACAGG
rnacentral:rRNA from 1 species